UACGUAGGGGGCGAGCGUUGUCCGGAUUCAUUGGGCGUAAAGAGCUCGUAGGCGGCUUGGCAAGUCGGGUGUGAAACCUCCAGGCUCAACCUGGAGACGCCACCCGAGACUGCUAAGGCUAGAGUCCGGUAGGGGAUCACGGAAUUCCUGGUGUAGCGGUGAAAUGCGCAGAUAUCAGGAGGAACACCGGUGGCGAAGGCGGUGAUCUGGGCCGGCACUGACGCUGAGGAGCGAAAGCGUGGGUAGCAAACAGG
rnacentral:rRNA from 1 species